AUGCCUUUCUAGUUGCCGGGUUAAUCCUUCCUUCCGCGAUAUCCAACUUAUCUACGUGGGGGGUCAUUAGACUCCAAGUAGAUCCGGAAAUUUUGAAUUCUCUCCUCUUCUUAUUGCGAUAUAAAAUGUUUUUUGUUUCAUUUCAUUUACAUUGGGAAAUAGAGAAACGAUCAUUGUGUUUUGUUAGUUUUAAAAACUUUUGAUAUAUUAGUAUUUUGCAUUAUAAGCAGUCAACCGAUUGACAAACUAGAAUUAUUUGAAUUCCGUGUGGAAAGAGCUCGGGUUAAUUUCGAGUGUUAUCUGCAAUCUAGAUGUUUAUAAAUCAUUUCAGUCGUUGAUAUAAUAAUUAAAGGUCGACUGAACAUGAAUUAUAUUAUACAAUUUAAAGCGCAUUUCUGUUUAUGCACGUGAACCCGUCUAACGUUAUUUUCGCAGUUAUAUAAAGUAGCAAAUUAUCGUUCCUGAAUAGGUGGCGCCGUGGUAGCGGAUCCUGUUCCUCUUCUUCCGGUUUCUGCACUGUGCAACUAUUUCAGUUAUAUUUUUUAAUUAACGAUGCCAAGUACUUGUUGUUGUGUACCUGGAUGUCAUUUAAGAGGAGGACAUGCAUUUCCAAAUGACUUAAAAAGAAGGAAAAGUUGGAUCAACGCCAUGGCCCAUACGCAGAUUGGACGAGAACACGAUGAUAUCGUGGAGUCCAUCAGCUGUUGUUUGCAAGGCACGUUUUACUGAAAAAGACUACGUGCAGGAAACUAUUCAUGGGCGCAAACCCACCAUACAAAGACUUAAGUCUACUGCAAUUCCCAGCCUAUUUUCCUGGACCAAGCAAGAGACUGAAUCGUCCGCAAAAAGAAAAAUCAGGGCAGUUUCCUGUGAAAACAAAAGAACUAAACUUGAUGAAUAUUGUAGUAGAAAUCUAGAGGAAAGUUUUGAUUGUAAAGUUGGUUUUCCUGAAGAAGUCAUUCAUACUGCAGAAAGGAUUUAUGACUGUCCACCACCAACUGCCGAGCUAAUGUUGAGCUUCACAGAUGGAAUUACGCAAACACCAUCAAUGCCUAUAUUUUCAGCAGAGAAUUUUGAAAUGAAGACACGUGACACAGCCAUGCAUUUUCAUACCCGUUUAGAGUUGUAUACUAAAUUUUUAUUUGUUUUGACCACACUUGGUCCAGCAGCACAUUGUUUGAGAUACAUAUAUUUUCAAAUUGAUAGGGUGUCAGUUGAAAAUCAGUUUUUUUAUGACUUUGAUGAAAUUGAGGCAUCAUACAACCAACUUUGAACUGUCUAGAUUCUAGAUUGAAUCUAGUGUUAAGAAUAUUGUGUAUACAUGGAUUAUUUUUAUGUCUAAACAGUGGUGUGAGGCUAACACUUGGCCAUCUAGUGGUUUAGUCAGGUAUUUUUCACCAUCCAACUUCAAAUUAAAGUUUCCUACGACUUGGAUUAUUAUUGACAGCACAGAAUAUCCCGUGAUAAAACCUAAAGCUCCUAGAGCUCAGGCAACCUUUUCAUCAAAUAAAAACAGAAACACUGAAAAUUCUUGAAUGUUCGACACCUGGUGGUUUAGUCAACUAUGUCUCUAUGUCACAUAGAGCGAAUUAUUGGACUUGGCAAAACAUACAAAAUUCUAAUAAAUCCUAUGAAUGAAACUGAAACAAAACUUUCAUCUGAAAUAACAUUUAGUUGUUGUAUGUUGUGUAAUUUUAGAACUUGUAUUGUGCCAAAGGAUGCAUAAAUAAAAGUGACGCAAUGAA